rnacentral:tRNA from 1 species
GACAGCAUGGCUUAGUGGUUUGAGUGUUGGACUACGACUCUGGAGAUCAAGGUUCGAUUCUCUGCUUGGCCA